rnacentral:tRNA from 1 species
GAUAGUAUAAUCUAAGUAAGAUAUUUCAUUGAUAGAGAAAAUAUAGAUUAAUUCUUACUAUUA